GUAUUAGUAACAACAAAAAUUGAGAAAAAAUUUUUUUUUCUUUUUCUUGUGUGUACAAUAUGAGAAUCAAAUGUCAGGGAAGAAAAUUUUUUAACACCAGGUGGCUUUAGUAUCACGAAUAUGUGUUGCACGUGGAAUGAUCGACAUACUAAUUGAUCAGUAGUUCACGAUUUCGCGUGCUUCAAACUUUCAAUCAUGACCGAGAAAACACCAGGUCCCAGUAGGGCUCGGUCCCGCGUCGAUCGGUUAGGUCGUUUCAGUUUUCGGUGCGGUUCUAUCGGGUUUGGGUGGCCUUUUUUGUUUCCCAUGGGUAUGUGGGUCGACUUCCGGGUGAAACCGGUUCAAGGGAAAGAAGUUAAUCGGUUCCAAAACACGUUUUUUUUAUUCCGAUUACACUGCUUUCUGACCCGAUUACCCGACUUUUGCCCCGAUUCUUACCCAGAAAUUUUAUUUAAGCUUAAAAUUAGGAUAAUUCAUCGUAUUUUUCAUGGUUUUGUCAUUUGGCGCCACGCAUCCACCAUUUUUUCAAGAUGGCGCCGGGUCUAUCGGUUUCACCGGGUAUUUUGAACCGAACUGAACCGCUUGAAAACUACCUACCCGAAUCGCAACCGAUCGGCCAUUUUUUGGAUAGGUCGGUGUGGUUUUUUGGGGUUCAGGUAAUCGGGGCCGAGCCCUAGGUCCCAGUGUCUGAUGUGAUAUGGCAAAAUUUUCUUUCCAAGGAAGCGUGGUUUUUUGUCGGCCAUGACACUUCUCACUUGGCCAUGUCGUGGCAAAAACUGUUUUUCAAUUGCUGUAACCCACCAGUUGGUUGAAAUAGCAUUCUGGUUGUUCAGAUGUUGCUGUUGUCAAAGCAAAAUGGCCAGUCUGAAUGUUUUGUCAAGAAACCAAACGAGCAAGUAAUGAUGAGCCUAAUAUUACCACUUGCUCUGGGAAGUGCUGGAUAGGCCUACUUUUAUGCCGUAACCAGAACUGUUGAUGGUACAUAUGAAGUAAAUGAUUAAUGAACUUCUUACCUGUGAUACAUGACCAAAUGAAAUUGUUUGAAUCAUUUUGUCAUGUCUUGAUGAGAUACAAAUAGUUCUAAACCUGAAAUAGGUUUUUCUGCUAGUCACCUACUAUUGCUCAACAUGUUCAGUGCUGGAAAACAAUGAUAUGAGAUGGGAGACAUUAAUUUAAAAGGUCUGUGUUCACAACAAGUUAAAAAAAUGAUGAACUGUGAAGAUCUCAUAGGCAUUUUUAAUUUCUUGAAAACAGAAAAAAACAUGUCUUAAGUGCAUUGACUUUUCAAUGUUCAUUUCAUCAGUUGGUGCGCAAUAGUUAAGAUAAUCUUUCUUUAGUAUUAUAAUUCUUGGAAAUAUUGAUUUGAUUUAUAUAAAUAAAGAUAUAUAUUUUGUAUUUUCUGCAACACAUGUUGGUUUUUGUAAAUCAAGAAUAUAUGUGGGUUGCAGAGUACAUUAAUGGAAUAUUAUGUUUAUGAAGUAGUUUGGGUGAAAUUUUUAGAAUGCAGCUGUAAAAAGAAACGUUUGUAAACCGAAAGGAUUGUCGACGUAGAAACAAGUCUCCCUUGCCAUCUUCAGCAGUAGACACGUGGUGUUGUAGGGAUUACCGUAUUGAAAAGUUAUGACCUUCAACUUCAAGAUGAACAACGGGAUCGGCUCUAGCAUCAUCUUUGCCAUUCGACUGGUACUUCUCUUUCCACUUUUACAUCAAAGUUGUGUCAGCAUAAUGCCUGGAGUCGAAGCCAAUCCGGAUGCAAAGCGCCUGUACGACGACUUGUUAAGUCAUUACAACCGACUCAUUCGACCCGUGAGCAACAAUUCACAAGUGGUCACUGUCGGUCUAGGUCUCCACCUCACUCAGCUCAUUGACUUGGAUUUAAAGAACCAAAUUCUCACCACCAACGUCUGGGUCGAACAUGAAUGGAUAGACGCAAAGUUGACUUGGGACCCGGAAGAGUAUGGAGGCGUUCGUGAGCUUAUGGUUCCAUCAGAGCACAUCUGGUUGCCGGAUAUCGUUCUUUAUAACAACGCUGACGGUGAGUAUGCGGUAACAACCAUGACGAAAGCUAUUCUGCACAGCGACGGCCACGUCAAAUGGAAUCCUCCAGCAAUAUUCAAGUCGUACUGCGAAAUCGACGUCCGCUACUUCCCUUUUGAUACCCAGACAUGCUUCAUGAAAUUCGGUUCGUGGUCCUACAGUGGUCUUCAAAUGGAUCUCAAGCAUCUCCACUCUCCAGACGAAAAUUUAGUUGAAAUUGGCAUGAACUUGAAGGAUUACUAUCCCAGUGGUGAGUGGGACAUUCUUGACGUUCCAGCUGAACGUCACGCCAAAAAGUACGACUGCUGUCCCGACGAGUUUUUUGCCGACAUUUUCUUCAACAUAACUUUGAGACGGAAGACGCUGUUUUACACGGUGAAUUUGAUUAUCCCCUGCGUGGGCAUCUCGUGUCUGUCGGUGUUGACUUUCUAUCUGCCGGCAGACUCUGGGGAGAAAGUGGCUCUUUGCAUCACCACUUUACUGUCGCAAACCAUGUUUUUCCUUCUCAUGUCGGAAAUCAUCCCAUCAACGUCACUUGCCAUGCCCUUACUCGGCAAAUAUCUUCUUUUCACCAUGUGUUUGGUCGGACUGUCGGUCCUCAUCACAAUCGUCAUCUUGAACGUGCGCUACCGUAAACCGUCGACUCACAAAAUUUCGCCGUGGGUUAGACGUUUUUUUAUCCAACAGCUACCCAAAAUGCUUUUGAUGCGAAUACCGAAACAGACGGAAGAUUGCGCCUCGUCUCCAAAUACGCCGACCGUCGAGGCAACAGCAGGAAUUUCAUCAAGUCUAAUGUUGCAAGACAGCAGUGCGGGUCAUCCACCAACUGCACCAGUCCGAAUGACGUCAUCGUCGCCAGCCAUUCGACGCUGGUCACGAUCUGCAUCUCCAUUUCAUUUCGGUUCGCAGUUGCUCUGUGAAAUUAUCAACUACAAUUCGGUUCAACAGCAGCAGCAGCAAGAUCGUUAUUACCAACAGCAGCAGCAACAACAACAAUAUCCGCUAUGCGCAUCUCGACUUCCUCCACCGCCACAGACGCCAUCAUCUCCCAUUUCCAUCAUAACGACCAUGCCUUUAUAUCCACCGCCUCCGCCACCCCUUUCAUUCCUACCGACUCAACUUCCUCUUCCUCCUCCUCCUCCUUCUGCUUCUUCACUGACAUAUCCACAUAUUACCUCACGGCGUUCUAGUACCAGUGAGGAUGAUGAUGAUAGCAGUCUACGGUCCUGCUGCCAGGCUUCUGCUCAUACCAGUGGCGGAGCAUUCACCAUGGCAACGGGCCGUGAUUGCGUUACACGCACCGUGAUGACGUGCCCCCAUGAUGAUGAUGAUGGUAGUGGCCGUAACAGCUUACAAAUGAGACGACGUCGUCAAGAAUUUCAUCGACCUAGUCAGCGCAUUCCCAAACGUUUUCCGCUGGAAUUGCAAAAAGCCAUCCGAGAUGUCCAGUUUAUACAGAAUCAUAUGAAACGCGCCGACGAAUACGAUGAGGUUUCAUCUCCGUGCCGUUGUCCAGAAUAUCCCCAGCAGCACAAUGCUAUAGGCUACUAGAAUAUACCAUCUAAUGUGACCCUGGAACAAUUGCGGAAGGGCGGUUUGUGACACGGCGGUCAUCGUCAGUUAAAAGCAGAGCGGGCUGCAUUCUGGCCCCAUAGGCUCUUGUGUCAGACCAGUUGAAGGCGGAUAUUUUCUGGGUUGCUCUCAAGGCCCAGAACUGCUGCAAUUGUGAAAGAGAUAACUGGAAGAUAACGAUUGGGGUUUCAUCGCUAUGGUUUUGGAUCGUUUCUUUUUGUGGGUUUUCACGGCGGCCUCGUUGUGCGGUACAAUAUCCAUCCUAUUCACGGCGCCCGCUCUCUACGACGAUUCGAGU
rnacentral:misc_RNA from 1 species